GGAGAGGUGGCCGAGUGGUUUAAGGCGCACGCUUGGAAAGCGUGUAUAUGGGAAACUAUAUCGGGGGUUCGAAUCCCUUUCUCUCCGCCG
rnacentral:tRNA from 1 species